GCGUCCAUAGCUCAGCUGGAUAGAGCAACGCCCUUCUAAGGCGUAGGUCAGAGGUUCGAAUCCUCUUGGGCGUACCA
rnacentral:tRNA from 1 species